GGCACAGUGGCGCAGCGGUGCGCGUCGGGAUCCAGUAUGUAAUUGACAAAUAUGACACCCAGAGGUACCCCGUUCGAAUCGGGGCUCUGCCU